rnacentral:miRNA from 1 species
UCCCUGACACACAGCUCUGCAGU